UACGGAGGAUCCAAGCGUUAUCCGGAUUUAUUGGGUUUAAAGGGUGCGUAGGUGGCUUAUUAAGUCAGGGGUGAAAGACGGUAGCUUAACUAUCGCAGUGCCCUUGAUACUGAUGAGCUUGAAUACACUAGAGGUAGGCGGAAUGUGACAAGUAGCGGUGAAAUGCAUAGAUAUGUCACAGAACACCAAUUGCGAAGGCAGCUUACUAUGGUGUUAUUGACACUGAGGCACGAAAGCGUGGGGAUCAAACAGG
rnacentral:rRNA from 1 species